AAUGUGUCCAACAAUGAUUAAGGAGACCAAUUCAGCAAAGGCGCCACCCACUCAGCAUGGAUAGUAUGGUUCAGAAGCUCACAUUCAAUGCAAUGUAUGGAAAGUAGAAAGAAAUUCAGAAAUGAGGUCUGCCUUGCAAUCUCAAAGCAGCUUGGAAAGAAUGCCGCCUUAUUCAAAACUUUGCUAAAUAACCUGGAUUGUCCAAAACUUCCGGAAACAAAAUUGUCCUAAUGGAUGUGAUGGCUGCAAUAUUACAGCAAGUGGGAAGAUAGUUUCAUUUCCUCCUUUCCAGGCAUUUGACGAAUGCAAGCCUUACAGGCUCAGUGAGAAAAGUUUUGUGCAACAGCAGCAUGGAAUGUCUGUGAAAUCCUCGACUCUUUCUGGAAGUCACACCCAGUUUCAGGAGCUGUAGUAAAAUGCCAAAGGCACAGUUCCCGAUUGCUAAACCGGAUGCUUGAGAGAUACUCUUUCCUGUUUUAUUUCUCCCGCUCUGAACUGGUUACCGUAAUUGUGGGAGUUGCAUUAAUGGCAUGUUGGAAUUCCCAGCAACCAGCUUCGGUUCACACUCAAUCAAGGGUAAAUAAAUAAAGAUUAUUUUUCUUGUUGUAAUAGAA